GGACGGGUUGGCGGGGGCGCUGGGGGCGAGCGAAUCGCCUUUUUGCCACAUGAAUUUGUUUGUUUAGAGAUUCAUGAAUGUGUUUUGGAUGUCAUAACUUUUGACUUAGGGCACAUAAUGAGGCUCUAUUAGUGCUUAUACAUGCAGAAUUCAAAGAUCUACAUUUAUCAUUGGGAACCCAUAAUCGCCAAGUUUUGGACCCAAAAAAACACCGUUUAGGUUCUUUUUAGAGCAUCUGAAGAUCUUUUUGCUAUUUUUAAUAAUUUUUAUUUUUAUGAUAUUUAAGAUAAUUUUAGUAUUUUUAGUAUUUAUGAGUUCGAGUUUGUCGCAUCCUGAUUCGUCCCCAAGUUGGAGUUCUGGGAUCGUCUGUUUGGAUCGAGGGAGCUUCUUCUUAGGCAUUUGAAGACAAAAUGGUUCUUCGGCUUCAGUAUCAAGAAAAGAAUCCUUCCCAAUCUCAAGUUUUUCAUGGGUGUGCGCGGUAUCUCCGAAGAGAAGGCGUCUCAAGCAAUGAGAAGCCGCCCUAAGUUCCUUGCCCAGAAUCUAGAUUCACUCCAGUCUUUGGUCCGCAGAGCCGACGAGCUGGGGGUGCCCCGACAAUCUCCAACGUUCCUGUUGUUACUCGUCGUUCUCCAGAGUAUCAGCAAAAAAACCUUGGAAGCCAAACAUAAAUUAUUGUCGGGCCUUGGCUUGUCAGAGUCAGACUUCUUCACUGCAAUCAGGAAGAAGCCAACUUAUGUUGAAUAUUUCUCAACCUCACAUGCGGAGAAAGAUAGAGUUCUUCAUCAAGGAAGUUGGCUAUCAGCCUUCUUUCGUUGUCCAACACCCAUUGUUACUUCUGUUUAGCUUGGAGAAGAGGGUGAUUCCAAGAUUUCGGGUGAUGGAGUUGUUGAAGUUGAAAAAUUUAUGGACCGAACAAACGUGUCUGCUCUCUUGUUUAUGCUUAUCUGAUAAAAAAUUCAUGGACAGGUUUGUGCUCCCAUAUCAAAAAGAAGCUCCCUGAGCUACUUGACAUUUGUGAUUCGCCAUCAAGUGUGCCGUGCCUGUGAUUGAGUUCCAGAAUCAUUAUGGAAGAGGUUUUUUUGGAAGAUUUAUUCAGAUGUGAGACUCUUCUACUUGGGCUUUUAAUUUAUGCUGUUGCAUGGCAUUUUCUGGGUUGUCAAGAAUUGGCACAUCAAUAACCACAGGUUGUCAAGAAUUCAAGAUUCACAAUAUUCAGUUGCGAUCAGUCGUUGUUGAUUAAACUUGUAAUAUUGCUAUUCUAAUGGUUCAUCAUAGAAGUCAUGAUUGAUUGUAGUAUUAUGUCCACAGUAAGAGAGCAAAGAAUGCAAGAGAGUUUCAAGAGAACUUUGUGAUGGUAAUUAGGGCAGCAACUAGCUCACAAACAUGAAGAUGAAGAUGAAAAUGGUAAAGAGCAUCAGAUCAGUAUAUACUUUAUCGUUAA